AUCCUAAACGAUGCUAGAGGGGCAAGAAACUAGUCUCCAGAUGCUACUUCUCAGAUUAAUCUAAUGCUUUGAGCUUGCUAGCCAACGUUUACAUGAACAGUUUGCUAAUUGGAAGGAAAAAUUGGAUGCAUAAUUCAAUUUGCUCAUAUGACAGCUGGAAAAGGAGGAUCCCUCUCGCACCGCAAAUCCAGUCAAGAAACGGAAAUUGGCAAAAUUUUGGAAGCAAACUUGAUUGUGACAUCACAGGAGUCCGGACACACAAUUUGGUUGCUCUAGCUCUUAUAGUCUCUGAGAUCUAGGCGCUCACUUCCACUUCCACUUCCAAAUCUAUAACGUAUACCCCUAUACUCUUUGAGUACCGAGUAUGAAAACAUGUCCUAUAGUCAUUGAACGCACACUGAUGUGUACUUACAUGGUAUACAUGGUGCUAGAAUUCCAAUUCGAUUCGACUCGACUCGACUUUAUUAUAUUAUGCCUUUUAUGUUGCGACAGAUCGCAGACUCAAAAGAUCUGGCAUGCUUUGAGGGCAAAACUGUACUGAGGGAAGCGCGACUUUCUAGCGACCAUGAGGUGAACAUUCGGAGAAUCUGGCGAAACAAUAUACGUACUUCAUUAAUAAGCCUGGAUACCCUCUGCAGCCCCCUUCCCAUCUGGCUUUUCCUUCCGCACGAUAAGUUGGUAGGCCAUUGGAGCCGUAGAACAAACACAUUUGCUCAGGUUUCCUUCUAUACACGGCCCUCAACUGCAUACAGUAUAUACACGAAUACGAGCGUGUACAUGGUAUUUAUGAGAAUGCAAAUACAAAAUACACGCAGGAGUGUGGACAUAAUCAUCUUGAUCCGUCUCCCUAUCUACGAGCCGGAGCUAGUCAAGCUGGUCAAGUUUUCGCCACGCCGCCUUUUGCGCUGCAAAAUUGAGAAGCAACUCCGAUUCGGUAUUAUCAAAUAACCAUUAUUUACUAAUUGUAACUAGUAAUUACUAAUCCUAAUCUAAAUUCGUCAAUCGGAUAAAAAUCAAAGAAUUAAUAAA